rnacentral:rRNA from 1 species
CAAGUCGAACGAACCUUUCGGGGUUAGUGGCGGACGGGUGAGUAACGCGUGAGAAUCUGCCCUCAGGAGGGGGAUAACGACUGGAAACGGUCGCUAAUACCCCAUAUGCCGAGAGGUGAAAUGAAUUUCGCCUGAGGAUGAGCUCGCGUCUGAUUAGCUAGUUGGUGGGGUAAAGGCCUACCAAGGCGACGAUCAGUAGCUGGUCUGAGAGGAUGAUCAGCCACACUGGGACUGAGACACGGCCCAGACUCCUACGGGAGGCAGCAGUGGGGAAUUUUCCGCAAUGGGCGAAAGCCUGACGGAGCAACGCCGCGUGAGGGAUGAAGGCCUCUGGGCUGUAAACCUCUUUUCUCAAGGAAGAAGAUCUGACGGUACUUGAGGAAUAAGCCACGGCUAAUUCCGUGCCAGCAGCCGCGGUAAUACGGGAGUGGCAAGCGUUAUCCGGAAUUAUUGGGCGUAAAGCGUCCGCAGGCGGCCUUGUAAGUCUGUCGUUAAAGCGUGGAGCUUAACUCCAUUUCAGCGGUGGAAACUACAAGGCUUGAGUGUGGUAGGGGCAGAGGGAAUUCCCGGUGUAGCGGUGAAAUGCGUAGAUAUCGGGAAGAACACCAGUGGCGAAGGCGCUCUGCUGGGCCAUAACUGACGCUCAUGGACGAAAGCCAGGGGAGCGAAAGGGAUUAGAUACCCCUGUAGUCCUGGCCGUAAACGAUGAACACUAGGCGUCGGGGGAAUCGACCCCCUCGGUGUCGUAGCCAACGCGUUAAGUGUUCCGCCUGGGGGAGUACGCACGCAAGUGUGAAACUCAAAGGAAUUGACGG